rnacentral:rRNA from 1 species
GAUGAACGCUGGCGGCGUGCCUAAUACAUGCAAGUCGAGCGAACAGACGAGGAGCUUGCUCCUCUGACGUUAGCGGCGCACGGGUGAGUAACACGUGUAUAACCUACCUAUAAGACUGGUAUAACUUCGGGAAACCGGAGCUAAUACCGGAUAAUAUAUUGAACCGCAUGGUUCAAUAGUGAAUGACGGUUUUGCUGUCACUUAUAGAUGCAUCCGGGCCGCAUUGGCUAGUUGGUAAGGUAACGGCUUACCAAGGCAACGAUGCGUGGCCGACCGGAGAGGGGGAUAGGCCACACUGGAACUGGAACGCGGUCCAGGGUCCUACGGGAGGCAGCAGUAGGGAAUCGUCCGCAAUGGGCGAAAGCUUGACGGAGCAACGCCGCGUGAGUGAUGAAGGUCUUCGGUGCGUAAAACUCUGUUAUUAGGUAAGAACCAAUGUGGAAGGAGAUAUGCCCGUCUUGACGGUAACUAAUCAGAAAGCAACGGCUAACUACGUG